UCGCCGUUGGUCGGCCGUGGGCCAGAACUGGCGGUUCUGGGCGAUCGCGUUGAUCGCAUCCGCGACGGUGGU
rnacentral:tRNA from 1 species